UCGAGGAUCUUCGGCAAUGGGCGAAAGCCUGACCGAGCGACGCCGCGUGUGCGAAGAAGGCCUUCGGGUUGUAAAGCACUGUCGAGGGGGAGGAAAGCCCGCAAGGGUCUGACCUAUCCCUGGAGGAAGCACGGGCUAAGUUCGUGCCAGCAGCCGCGGUAAGACGAACCGUGCGAACGUUGUUCGGAUUCACUGGGCUUAAAGGGCGCGUAGGCGGGCCAUCAAGUCUGUGGUGAAAGCCCCCGGCUCAACCGGGGAAGUGCCGCGGAUACUGGUGGUCUCGAGGGGUGUAGGGGCAUGCGGAACUUCCGGUGGAGCGGUGAAAUGCGUAGAUAUCGGAAGGAACGCCGGUGGCGAAAGCGGCGUGCUGGACACCUACUGACGCUGAGGCGCGAAAGCCAGGGGAGCAAACGG
rnacentral:rRNA from 1 species